GGGGCGGGCCUGGGGAAGGGACUCCCGCGGCCCUAAGGUGCUGGCGGGCGUUUGGCGUUGCAGCUGUGUGGGCGCUGGUGCGUGCGAGUAGCGCUCGAAGAAACCCAAAGGCGUCGUGGGGCUGCCGUGUGCCCCAGAGAGCACUGCAGGCCGGGUAGGGGCUAAGGCUCCCCGCAGUCUUCUGUGUGUCGUCCAGUACGCAGUUGAAAUCGUUCUCCAACCUGGCCAGUCCUCCGAGGCCCUUCUCAGGCGACCAGACUCUGUUAACAGAGUCCAUUGCUAAAACUCCUCGUUAGUAUUUACCACUCCUCCAGUCUGUGUUUUGAAGCAGUGGUUUUCAACCACUGCCCGUUUUCAGAAGAAAUCAUCUCAAGCGUCCGUGUGCUGCUAGAAGCCGGGCCGGGAGGUCUUGGUGCCGGACUCCACCCUGCAGCCCUUCCCUUUCGCCACCGCCCUGUGCUUAGAGAAACCUUAGAGUGGAGCAAUGAGUCGCCCUUGACUGAGUAACUCUUCGGGGUCAACUUCUCCUUCCACGCCAAGGAAAGGAUUCCAGGGCGAUGUUUCUGGAAAUAGAGAUCUGACCAAGCCACUGCUCUGUCUCUUUCAGAGCAAUGCAAACCUGAAACUACUCCUGCCAAGAAACGAUUGCAGCUCUUCCCGGAAAAGUUAAAGCCUUUGAGAAACAAAGCUGAGGUUGAAAGUAUUAGUCCAUUUUAUAGAUGAAGAAAUGGAGGCCCAGAGAGAUCACGUGACUUAGCCAAGUCCACCAACUAAUAUUGGGAAGCUCAGCAGGGUCCUGGGGGCCCACAGGAAUGUGAAUAAACACGCUUGGAAAGUCUGCAGAAUUUCCAGUCCUAGCCUCCUGCUGGUGUGAACCUGGGCUCCUGUGCCUGGGACCCUGGGAGAUUUGGGAUUAAGCCUUAUUUUGCAUUGGGUUUAAUCUCAACAGACACCGAGGGGCACCUGGAGUCCCUGCAAAACCUUGUCUGGUAUCAGCUACCUAUCAGAGGAUGCAGAGGACAAGGGCCUAGGGGAUGCCAAAUUCCAGGGUCCAGAAAGAGCUUGGGAUAAAAUGAACAUCCAAGGGGAGGGCUUUGACCUGGGCUGAGUCUGCCUGUGCCGAGUCUGCCUGUGCCAUCCAACUGGAGUCUCAAGUCCUGAGGCAGGACGUCCAGAUGCCCCAGUGCAGGGUCCUCCUGAUCAACACCUGCUCCCCUGUACUCAUUAGCAACCUCACCCACCCUACUCUCAAAGCACACUUGGCUCUCAUAUCCAGGAGCUCUGCAUCUGUAGAUUCAGCAACAGCAGAUGGAAAAUAUUCAGAAAAUAAA
rnacentral:lncRNA from 1 species